rnacentral:lncRNA from 1 species
CCUCCUCAAUCCUUCUUAAGAGCAGCCGUAUCCUCAUGGGCCUCAGAAUGCUUUCCUGUGUCCAUGCCUUCACCACAUAACAGGCACACUUGGCAUAUAUUAGGUCAAACUUGUGGUCUGGGCGAACCCAGGCUUCAGCAAUGGCUGUGGUGUUGCUCAGCAUACACACAGCUUGCCAGGUACCAGGUACCAGGUACCACAGUGGGAGGCUGGCAAUUAAUGCCAACUUUGAAGUCUGUGGAGCACCAGUCCACAAACUGGAUGGUAUCCUUGGUCUUAAUGGUGGCAAUGGCAACACUGUCAUUCUUUGGUCACCGUGUUGCCAUGGUACAACAGAUAGCAAGCCGUGUAUUUACUGUGACGAAAGUCACAUUUCGCCAUCUGGUUGGCUGGCUCAAGGCAUGCAUAGGUGAUCUAUGCUACAGAAAGCUGUUCAUGGUAGGUUUGUAAGCAGAGACGUCAGGAGCAUAUGAGGCUAGAGGGAAGUGGAUUCAAGGAUAGGGCACCAGGCUAGUCUGGAAUUCUGUCAUAUCAACAUUUAAGGCUCCAUGAAAUCUGAAGGAAGCAGUGAUGGGGGACACAAUUUAAUCUAUUAACCUAUUGAAGUUAGUGUAUGUUGCACCUGUCUCACUGAAGAAGGUGUUGAAGAAGUCAUCUCCUCCCCCAGUGGUCU